UCCAAUGGAUUUAGUUAUAUAAAAAAAAAUGGAUCCGAUGGAUCCAAUGGAUUUUAGUUAUAUAACUAAAAUCCAUUGGAUCCAUCGGAUCCAUCAGAUCCAUCGGAUCCAUCAGAUCCAUCGGAUCCAUUUUUUUUAUAUAACUAAAAUCCAUUGGAUC